GCCUAAUUAUACUAAGAGUAAAAUCAGCAGUGAUUCAAAUCGUUCGGGGCUGUCAGUUUGAAUAUGAAUCUGAAACAUUGAAUUUCCCAGCAGCUGUUCUAGAUUCAGUUUUUAUACCAGUCAACUGUCAAAAAAAUAAAACUGGUAUAAUGCUCCGUUCUAUUUUCUGCAGAUUUGAACCACGAUUGAAUCACGAGAUUCAAAUAUUUUUCAAUUGUUUUGGUGUAUGGAUGCGUCAUUUUAUCUACGGAUCAAUCCACUUUGCAAUUCCGGCGCCUUUCUUGGCAGUAACAUAAUGAUUUCAACUAAUUGAAAAUUUGGAAAACAUGAAUAGAACACUGCUGGGGAAACAAGCGAGUUUGUUCUAUUUUGCUCCAGAUGCAAACUAGAAUAGUGGUCGAAAAUUUAGAAUCAAACUGAAUCACUCCUGAUUUCACCCUAAAGACACACUGGUGGUACAAGGACCGUGGUAUACCACACUGGUAGAAAAAACAUUUUGAUUUUCAUACACUGUAAACCGGCAUUAUGUUUCUGUUUCGGAAGCGAAGGAAAUAGCUGGCGUUAUUUCACCAAGUUCUUGGUUUGAAAAAAGGAUGUUACUUAUUUAUCGCUUGCCAUAAAAUUAUGUGAGAAAAUGAACCAUCGCCGACGCUGGUUAAAUACCGCAGCGCUUCUAGCGAAUUACACCACGACGCUAUUCGGAUGUAUUUGUAGGGAGCAGAAACCUUGGCGGACGGCCACUAAUGGAUCGGGUGUGGGUUCCUUGCCUCAAACCAAACAUCAGUUGCUCCUCGUUUAGGGAUCGGAGACCUUGGCGGACGGCCACUCAAGGAUCUUAUUCUGUGCAGCUCACCUCAAACCAAACUUCAGAUGCUCCGCGUAUUUCCAGGGAGCAGAAACCUUGGCGAACCACAACUCAUGGAUCUGAGCCUGAGCGGCAUACUUCAAACGAAACAUGGGUGACUCCACCUUGCAUCACACUCCUCUUUAAUGUAGAAAAGUGCUAGAUGUUUGCUUUAUAUUUUAUUUUACCGAUCUAAAUACACUGAAUUGUGCUAAUUCACAAGAAUAAAUGUUUUUAUUACAUACAAAUUCAAAGAAAAUCAAGAAUCCAAAUUUUCCUUCGCUGUAAUGCUAAAAUGGGUAUUGUUUACUCCUUUUCUCAAAUUAAAAAUUUCCAAUAAAGAGUAAAAUUUACCCUUGAUUUUGACGUACAGGCCGUUUACCCAUUAAUGAGUAAACGCUGUUUACUCUUUUAAUGAGUUGAACUAUUUAACUUCAUAAUGGGUACUUUUUUACCCAUUAAAGAGUACUUUGCCGGCACAGUGUAAGUCUUGCCUUAUGAAACCAUAUGAAUUCAUUAUAUUUUCAUUUCAUAAGGUGCCAAUGGGAAUCAUUAGUUUGCCUUAUGAAAUUCAUACUUUGUGUAAACUUUUCAUAAGGUAUUCUUAUGAACAAAUCCUGUUCAUUACAGCGUUCAUCCUGACCAUCUUGACAGCUAGCAAAAAAUGGCUCACUUCUGGUUGCAUUUUUUCCACGCCAUCAAUCAACAUUACAACAACUGGAAUGUUAGAAGGAUGACUGAAAAUCUGAAAACAACUGCCUGUGCAUGAAUUCGGUGAGACCUCCGAAAGCGGAAACAACUCAACAAGUCCUUUAGUUUUGCCUCCAUCAACAAUGUACGGUGUCCUCUACUGUGCACAAUUUGUACAAGGUUUGAAGACUUCCAGGUCCAGCUUCUCGUCCAUACAGUGUAAUGAUCCUAUGCCUGUGAAUCAACAUUAUCCGGUUUCCUCCGGCUUCGGUAUACGGUCACUGACAUCAGUAACGGCCACCAGCAUUAGUAGCCAAACGGCCAAAUGAUGCCGGAAAGCGAUAGAUUUCGAUGAAAACCAUCAAGAUCAGGAAGACAGAUGCGGUCACGAUGAUCUGCAUUAUCGUUCGAAACAGCAACUUGUCAUUAAGAAGAAACCUCCGGUACACAUAUAGACUCCGAGCUUUGGACUGCAGUGUACAGGGUGUUCAAUAAGUUCGAAUACAAAUGUUUGAUCAUUGUGUUUGUAAGCCCAAUGUACAUAUUCUGUAUAAGUAUUGGUGUCAGCGUUAGCGGUAUAUAUACGCUAACGAAUGUGUGUGGUGUUGACAUUCUCUCACUUGUUGUUUGUUUUUUAAGCGCGGUGAAAAUGGAUUGGGGCAUUGUAAACAGCAUUUUUUGAAGGUCAAAAUCAUUGCGGUGUACUACAAAACUGAGAUUUUGGGGAAGAUUGAUACCCCCAGUGGCCCGGUGAUAAGACGGAGAUCAGCCCUGUGUUUCAAUAGAACGAUAAGCCUUUAUACACGGAAAAUGUGAUUUAAGCCUUAUAUGGGGACAAUUUCAUCGACUUUUUGGACAAAGCUUUGCGACCUCCCAGCUUCCCGGAUUUGAACCCUCUUAACUUUCUUGUUUGGUCCUUUAUUAUGUUAAAGCUGUACGAAUACAAGGUCAGUAACUUGGACCAGUUCCAGACGUAAUUCUCAAAAUCUGGAACGAAAUGCCCAUGCAGACCUUGCGUGCCGCUUGCUUUGGAUUUCAGAAACGUUUGAAGCUCGUGAAGAAGUAUAAAAUAGAGGUCAUUCCAGAAGAAAUAUUGCAAACGUUCCUUAUAAACAAUACUUUCAAUGAAAUGUAACCGGGAAAAGAAAUAAUUUAAUUACAAUUUUUAAACAUUUUUUGAAAGUGUAUUCGAACUUAUUGAACACCCUGUAUAUUCACAUUAUAUUUCGAGUGGAUAAUUAGUAGGAAUGCAACUUAAAACGCACUCGUUACGAGAUUUCACGAGAUUCAGCAGCUGAUUGGGGCAGGAAUGUAUGUUAACCAUCGUAAAGUCAUGUAGAGUCUCGCGCAUUUGUGCGCCAUCGUGCAGCAUGGAAAGAGAAAUUCGAAAAGCGGGAAAUGUUUGACAGCCGGAGAACUGCAAUAUAAUUCUGAUUAUGGGAUUGAUUUCAAAAUAUCCCGCUACUCGCUUGAGAGCAGAAAAGCGGCUCUAUCCGCAGCACCCAGCUUAAACCAUUAUUUUUUUUCCCGGUAGAAAUUGAAGUAGUGGUUGUGACAGGGUUAUUAGUUCCUGGUUGUGAUGCAUUCAUCCGAGAAAAGUCUCACUACUACAUACAGAAGUUCAAAUUGAUUGUUCUGUCAAAAAUUUCGACUGCAUUAAACACUGCUUUUAUUACGCAUUAAAUGCUAAUGUAAUGCUAAUUUAAUGUUAAUAAACAUUUUAUCUUGCAGCAUUAACGAUGCUGAUAUAAUGUUGAAUAAGAGCUUCGAAACAUUUGCAGGGCUGUUAUAAUGCUUUGAAGCAUCAUUGAUGCUCAUUUAAAGCCUAAAACUAAUGCUUACGGUUACUUGGCUAAAGUGCUCAGUGCAACUUAGUGUUGCUGAUGUUCGUAAAGAGCGAGUGGUGCUCGCAUAAAAAAGCUCAGUAUGACUUACUAUGGGGGCAGCAUGGACUUUGUCCAAGGGCUUGACGACCCCUCCCCAUGGCCACUGCGAGUUAGACCGGGACCAUCGUCCCUAACCCCUAAUCCCAAGGCGUCAAGCGACCCGUGCCGAGGGGAUGCAUGGCCAGGGGGGUGAAAUAAUAAGCUAGGCCUUUAAGGUGAGUUACGGCGGCGUCCAAAAAUGGCAGCCACAAUGGCCGUGCUAUCUCUCACCUCGCGUUUUUGCUCGCACAAAUGUGAAUAUUUAGGCGGUUAGCACAUCUGGAAACCAUUUUUUCAUGUAUGCUGCAAGUGAGCAAAAGUGAAAAACUACUUUUUGCUUUUGUCUGUCGUUUACUUUUCAAGUUAUGUGCCCUCAAAAGUGCUAUGUAGAUUUGAAAUUGGGCUCCAACGCGAUUCACCUUAACGGAGCCUGUGGGGUACCUGGGCACCCUCCACAGUAAUUGUCCCUUACCGCGUUAUGCUGGGCUCUGGCGUGGUGGACCUCUUUUCCCGAGCAACUCGUGGGACCAAAAUGGAAAACCAAGUCAAUUCUUCAAUUAGUGGUAGUAGUGUAGGCGACAACCCCUUCGCAAGAGGUGGGUUGUUCAGGUCUCCGCCUAGGAGGCCAGAGGCAAUAGUCGGCAGCUCAGUGCGCAGCGCCAGCGUGGGUCACUCAACCUUCCUCUCGGCUAUAAAAACGCCGGAAGGGGUUAUUGACGGCCCAUGGCUUGUGAAGGCGAUGAACCGCAAACGCGAUGGGCUUUCGGCCUUCGAGGUGGCGACGGAACAGCUGG